GAUGAACGCUGGCGGCGUGCCUAAUACAUGCAAGUCGAGCGAACAGACGAGGAGCUUGCUCCUCUGACGUUAGCGGCGGACGGGUGAGUAACAUGUGGAUAACCUACCUAUAAGACUGGGAUAACUUCGGGAAACCGGAGCUAAUACCGGAUAAUAUAUUGAACCGCAUGGUUCAAUAGUGAAAGACGGUUUUGCUGUCACUUAUAGAUGGCUCCGCGCCGCAUUAGCUAGUUGGUAGGGUAACGGCUUACCAAGGCAACGAUGCGUAGCCGACCUGAGAGGGUGAUCGGCCACACUGGAACUGAGACACGAUCCAGAGUCCUACGGGAGGCAGCAGUAGGGAAUCUUCCGCGAUGGGCGAAAGCCUGACGGAGCGACGCCGCGUGAGUGAUGAAGGUCUUCGGAUCGUAAGACUCUGUUAUUAGGGAAGAACAAAUGUGGAAGUAACUAUGCACGUCUUGACGGUACCUAAUCAGAAAGCCACGGCUAACUACGUG
rnacentral:rRNA from 1 species